rnacentral:tRNA from 1 species
GCCUGUUUAGCUCAGUUGGUUAGAGCAUCUGACUGUUAAUCAGGGGGUCGUAGGU